rnacentral:lncRNA from 1 species
GGGGCUUGCAACCGUCACUUAUGUCUUGAGCAGUUAAAACAUAGAACAGUCUAGUCAAGCGCCAUGUCUCUUGUUCUUCGAUUAACUAUAGCUCUGGAGUAUUUGCAGAUUUUCAAAUAAAACUCAGAGAUUCCUUGUAUGACACUCUCUAGUCUCUCUUUUGUGGUAUUUCUGGAUCCUUACCAAGGCAGUAAUGGUGUAUGCCUUCUCUCAAAGUAUGUGGUAUUUUUGGUAUGAGGCAUAGUGGUAUUGCCUUCUCUCUCACCCUACUAUAAGGUUUUGAUAUCUGGAGCUCAUAGGUAGGAGACAGCUAAUACAUACUUACAAGACACUUAUUGCAUAGUCAAACCAUAGAUCCAGAAGAACAAGUCAAUAAGUCAAAUCAAGAUGUGCAUGUGUGGCGAAUGAAUGGUGAUAAUGGUGAAAAUAAUGGUGAAAGUCUAAUUCUACUUUUGCUCUUUUGAGGGGGUACAUACCUUUCUUGCACUUGAGGCUUUUGAGGGGAAUGAGACGCUCUAUAUUUUAUUUUUCUUUUCUCUUAGGUGGGUAUCUUGUACCCCUAAUUCUACUGUCCGACACUUAUCCAUUUUUACCUCUCGUCUCACUUUUUCUCUUUUUUUCAAGGUUUCGGGCACUUGCCCCUUUUUAUUUCCUCGUAUUCACUUUUUUUCAGAGCACUCACCCUCCUGGAAUAAUGUAGCAAGUGGUAGUAACCAAAAUAUCUCGAGCAUUUAUUUCACGGGGAAUAACAAGGAUAGGAUAAUGUUUUUGGCUAUUCUCUCCUAGAUAGGAGUAGAAUAAUUUUGGGUGAAUCUGGAUAUGGAAAUGAGUGGAUGUAUGUGGAUGCGUACUUCUGGAGUAGAAGCAGCAUGUAUGAGUGAACGUGCAAGUGAAUCUUGAUUUUAACCGCAUGACAAGCUCCUAAGGGUCUACAUAGCUUGACCACACUCAAUGCUCAUAAGCAGUAAAAAGUAAAUGUAUGGUUCAUAGUCUAAUAAGCUUGUAUAUAUGGCUGUGGUAGGAUUUUAAACUCUCAUCAUACAGGAACUCAUCAUGCAACAUUUUAAAGAUUUUCAAAGAUAAAAUUCUCCAGAAUUCUAGCAUCUCUAGGAAUAGAUAAACAGGAGCUCAACCUUCCCAUAUCAUAUCUGUUAACGACUUAGACUUUAGAUCAAGUACUCUUCCCACAAGUCCAGGUUU